AUUGAACGCUGGCGGAAUGCUUUGCACAUGCAAGUCGAACGGCAGCACGGGAGCUUGCUCCUGGUGGCGAGUGGCGAACGGGUGAGUAACAUAUCGGAACGUACCCAGUCGUGGGGGAUAACUAUCCGAAAGGAUAGCUAAUACCGCAUACGUCCUGAGGGAGAAAGCGGGGGAUCGCAAGACCUCGCGCGAUUGGAGCGGCCGAUAUCGGACUAGCUAGUUGGUGGGGUAAAGGCUCACCAAGGCGACGAUCCGUAGCGGGUCUGAGAGGACGACCCGCCACACUGGAACUGAGACACGGUCCAGACUCCUACGGGAGGCAGCAGUGGGGAAUUUUGGACAAUGGGGGCAACCCUGAUCCAGCCAUUCCGCGUGAGUGAAGAAGGCCUUCGGGUUGUAAAGCUCUUUCAGCAGGAACGAAACGGUCGGCUUUAAUAAAAUCGGCUAAUGACGGUACCUGCAGAAGAAGCACCGGCUAACUACGUG
rnacentral:rRNA from 1 species